UUGAUGAAUUGCAAUGUCUCAUUGGUAGAAGAUAUGCUAAUGGUGUGGUUUCCUGUGGGAGGAAAUCUUGUUUAAAAUAAAUACUGCAAAAAUGUGGAAGAAACUUGUUGAAAAAACAUCUGUCUUAGUACUUUGGAUUGUGCAAAGAUGAUUGAUUAUUUUGCUUGUUAGUUUAAACCCUGAUACUCAAAAUAACAUAUGUGCUUGACUUCUGGAUGCAAAGUGGAAGAGGAUAAGUGAUAUUAUGGAUUUGUGUUGUACUGUCAUUUCAUCUGUAAAAAGAAGUUACUACCCUAUUUAUUUUGGAACUGCACUUUCUUUGGUUUGACAAACUGGAAAAUCCACGACAGACAUGAACAUGCAAGGAUAGACAAGGGCAUAUGAUGACACUUAUCCUAAGUACUGGGUCGAAAAUUGGAGACGGUCAUGCACAUGCAUGGAUUGACAUGGGAAAAUGAUGAAUCUUAUCCUAAGGACUGGGGGCUCUGAGAAUUAAAGGGCAUGCAUCUUCUAGUAUUGGAGUACUUUAAUAAUCCACUUUGUUUCUUUGUGCUUGGAGAUGUCAAGAGGUAUCCCUUUCUGGCUUGGAAGGUUGGAUGACCGAGUUAAAUUGGGCUACUCAUUCUCUUGUAGCACGUCAUACUAAAGGGCUCCAUGGAUGACCUGGGAUUUGUCGAUGGGUUUUGUUGAGGGGUUUGAGGAGUAUUGGCAAUUUCUUUUGGUGAGGCGGAACAGUUUAAGUACAACGUUUUCUUGAUUUAUAUGGUUGGAUGGAGGUGAUUUUUAGAUGAUUGGGUGCUGUACCUGCCUUUCAUUUGAUAUUUUCUGAUGUUUUUAAGUGGCUCAUCUCAUAAGAUCAGCACUUUCUCUGGUGCAAGUUUGUAUAAAGUGAUGGGAAAGCCGUUUGUG